UGGGGAAUAUUGCACAAUGGGCGCAAGCCUGAUGCAGCCAUGCCGCGUGUGUGAAGAAGGCCUUCGGGUUGUAAAGCACUUUCAGCGGGGAGGAAGGCGGUGAGGUUAAUAACCUCAUCGAUUGACGUUACCCGCAGAAGAAGCACCGGCUAACUCCGUGCCAGCAGCCGCGGUAAUACGGAGGGUGCAAGCGUUAAUCGGAAUUACUGGGCGUAAAGCGCACGCAGGCGGUUUGUUAAGUCAGAUGUGAAAUCCCCGGGCUCAACCUGGGAACUGCAUCUGAUACUGGCAAGCUUGAGUCUCGUAGAGGGGGGUAGAAUUCCAGGUGUAGCGGUGAAAUGCGUAGAGAUCUGGAGGAAUACCGGUGGCGAAGGCGGCCCCCUGGACGAAGACUGACGCUCAGGUGCGAAAGCGUGGGGAGCAAAAAGG
rnacentral:rRNA from 1 species